AUGGAGGCUUCCAGAUCAUGGAUCCUGUCACGCGCAUCCCGGUGAAGAGAGUCCACCAACAGGCUUUGUGUGAGCAACAAGGCUGUUUAUUUCUCCUGGGUGCAGGCGGGCUGAGUUUGAAAAGGGAGUCAGCAAAGGGUGGUGGGAUUAUCAUUAGUUCUUACAGGUUUUGGGAUAGGUGGUGGAGAGCAAUGUUUUGCGGGCAGGGGGUGAAUCUCACAAAGUACAUUCUCAAGGGUGGGGAGAAUUACAAAGAAUCUUCUUAAGGGUGGGGGAGAUUACAAAGUACAUUGAUCAUUUAAGGUGGGGCAGAAACAAAUCACAAUGGUGGAAUGUCAUCAGUUAAGGCUAUUUUCACCUCUUUUGUGGAUCUUCAGUUGCUUCAGGCCAUGUGGAUGUAUAAGUGCAGGUCACUGGGGAUAUGAUGGCUUAACUUGGGCUCAGAGGCC
rnacentral:lncRNA from 1 species